rnacentral:rRNA from 1 species
AUUGAACGCUGGCGGCAGGCCUAACACAUGCAAGUCGAGCGAGCGGCGGACGGGUGAGUAAUGUCUGGGGACUGCCCGAUGGAGGGGGAUAACUACUGGAAACGGUAGCUAAUACCGCAUACUAUCGGAUUACCCAGAUGGGAUUAGCUAGUAGGUGGGGUAAUGGCUCACCUAGGCGACGAUCCCUAGCUGGUCUGAGAGGAUGGUCAGCCACACUGGAACGGAGACACGGUCCAGACUCCUACGGAGGCAGCAGUGGGGAAUAUUGCACAAUGGGCGAAAGCCUGAUGCAGCCAUGCCGCGUGUAUGAAGAAGGCCUUAGGGUUGUAAAGUACUUUCAGUCGGGAGGCGUUACCGACAGAAGAAGCACCGGCUAACUCCGUGCCAGCAGCCGCGGUAAUUC